rnacentral:rRNA from 1 species
GAUGAACGCUGGCGGCGUGCCUAAUACAUGCAAGUCGAGCGAACAGACGAGGAGCUUGCUCCUCUGACGUUAGCGGCGGACGGGUGAGUAACACGUGGAUAACCUACCUAUAAGACUGGGAUAAAUUCGGGAAACCGGAGCUAAUACCGGAUAAUAUAUUGAACCGCAUGGUUCAAUAGUGAAAGACGGUUUUGCUGUCACUUAUAGAUGGAUCCGCGCCGCAUUAGCUAGUUGGUAAGGGAACGGCUUACCAAGGCAACGAUGCGUAGCCGACCUGAGAGGGUGAUCGGCCACACUGGAACUGAGACACGGUCCAGACUCCUACGGGAGGCAGCAGUAGGGAAUCUUCCGCAAUGGGCGAAAGCCUGACGGAGCAACGCCGCGUGAGUGAUGAAGGUCUUCGGAUCGUAAAACUCUGUUAUUAGGGAAGAACAAAUGUGUAAGUAACUAUGCACGUCUUGACGGUACCUAAUCAGAAAGCCACGGCUAACUACGUG